AUAAUUUCUUUGUCAGUGGGCAAAUGUACAAAAUCAGCAGGGGAUCAAAUACUUUUUUCACCUCACUGUAUAUUUACUCACAGAUUAGAGAUGUUCAAGAGAUGGCGAAGUUUCACAUGUAGAGGGAUCCUUCAUGUUUUGAUCCUAAUAUAAGGAGUGUCUCUAUGCAAAUGUCCUCCCCUGCUAUAUAUUUAAGCAAUGAAAACCAAGAUCUUUUACUUAUUCUGCGUCAACACACACCAUGAUCUCUGCAUCCCUACUGCUGCUGCUGGCAGCCAUACACUGUGUUCACUGUGUUGAACUGAUCCAGCCUGGAUCCACGGUAUUAACCCCUGGUCAGUCAAUGACUCUGACCUGUAAAGUGUCUGGAUAUUCAUUAACUGAUAGCAGCUACUGUACACAGUGGAUAACCUGGACAACCUGCAGGAAAAGCUCUGGAGUGGGUCGGAUGGAUAUGUAGUAGUGGUGGCACUGGCUACAGUGAGAAACUGAAAAGCAGGUUUCAGAUUUCCAGAGACACGUCCAGCAGCACAGUAACAUUAACAGGACAGAACAUGCAGACUGAAGACACAGCUGUGUAUUACUGCGCUCGUCAACCACAGUGAGACAGAUCAACAACAUCCCUGUACAAAAACACCUCAUACAAAGUCCUAUUAGUCC